rnacentral:lncRNA from 1 species
GGCCCGCUCGUGGAGUGAACAGAGGAGCAGGAAGCCUGAGGUCCUAACCGUGAGUUACUGGGUCAUGCUCCUUGGGAACAGCAGGCAGGUCAGCAGCCCGAGCACAGGAGGAAGUAGGAAGAAGACAGACCAUGUGCCUUUCGGGUCGAAUUCGCAAAUGUGAGGAAGCUUAAACACAAUUUUAGUUCUGUGUGGAAAAUGAACAAAGACCAUAAGUUCUCAGUACCGUGCCACAGAAAUCAAUUAAAGGCGACUCUGAACAAGCGCACUACUGUAUGGAAAGAAUCACGUGGGCAGAGUGAAAGAGAGGUAAAGGCAAUGAGAAAGAGCAGGGACGUGGGAGAAGACGAGGAGAUGAAAAACAAGAAACCAGAAGUUUCUGUUGUUAAUGCCACCCAAGAAACAGGAAAAAUGAUGGGAUACCACGGGGAGGAGAUUCCUUGAGAACGUGUAGAAGCUUGAGAGGGACUCCACGGACGUUUCUGGGUAAAAACCACUAAAUGAAAGUCUUGUUUGCACAGUUCUAGCUUCCGGUACACAUUUUUCACGGCCUGUCAAAAUCAAGGAUACCUACUCUCCAGGGGCAGAACCACAUUUCAGUUAAUUUCCUAUUAAGCG